rnacentral:rRNA from 1 species
GAUGAACGCUAGCUACAGGCUUAACACAUGCAAGUCGCGGGGCAGCAUGGGGGUUGCUUGCAAUCCCCGAUGGCGACCGGCGCACGGGUGAGUAACGCGUAUCCAACCUGCCCUUCACCACGGGAUAACCCGGCGAAAGUCGGACUAAUACCGUAUGUUGUCCAUUGACGGCAUCCGAUUUGGACGAAAGGCUUGGCGGUGAGGGAUGGGGAUGCGUCCGAUUAGCUAGACGGCGGGGUAACGGCCCACCGUGGCUACGAUCGGUAGGGGUUCUGAGAGGAAGGUCCCCCACACUGGAACUGAGACACGGUCCAGACUCCUACGGGGGGCAGCAGUGAGGAAUAUUGGUCAAUGGGCGUAAGCCUGAACCAGCCAAGUAGCGUGCAGGAUGACGGCCCUAUGGGUUGUAAACUGCUUUUAUGCGGGGAUAAAGUGGCCCACGUGUGGGCUUUUGCAGGUACCGCAUGAAUAAGGACCGGCUAAUUCCGUG